rfam:Capsicum annuum cultivar Zunla-1 chromosome 12, whole genome shotgun sequence
GGACGCGAUCAUACUAGUACUAACGCACCGGAUUUCAUCAAAACUUCGAAGUUAAGCGUGCGUGGGUGAGAGUAGUACUAAGAUGGGUGACCCCCUGGGAAGUCAUCAUGUUGCAUCCC